UCCCCGUCUCCAUGGUGACGGCUCCUUCGGGAUGGGGGGGGGCUGCAGAGGUUCCCGAACCUUCUCUGGACUUGCUUCCAGAGUUGACGAACCCUGAUGAGUUGCUCUCCUACCUCGGCCCUCCGGACCUCCCGAACAACAACAACGACGACCUGCUGAGUCUGUUCGAGAACAACUGAAACUAACACAGAGACUUUUACUGUGAAAAACAUAAACUCUGUUUCCUGUUUCCUGUUUCCUCGCCGCCGCCGCCAACGUGACAGCGGGCCCAACAUGGCCGCCGUCUGCACAGGAAGGAGCGGCGCGACGAGAAGGAAACUUUUAAAUAUGAAACUCUUUGAUGUGACUAUGAUGAACUUUGAUGGUAACUUUAUUUUAUUUUUGUUUUUUAUUCUCUGAAAGUGUAUUUUGAUCGUUCAUCCUCCAUUCCCCCGUCAGAGCUGUGACAUCACACCUGUGACAUCAGAGCUGUGACAUCAGAGCUGUGACAUCAGAGCUGUGACAUCACCGUACUGCUGCUUUAACUCGUGUCACGUCUCUGCUCACAAAUCAUCCAGCAGCUUUUACAUUGAUCUGUUUUUUUCUAUGAACGUCUGUCUGGUCUGUUUUUGUCACGGUGAUGUCACGGUGAUGUCACAGUGAUGUAAGCAGCAGUGCGGUCGUCUGCUUUAAAAAUGAGUUUUAAAUGUACGAACAGUCGAAGAUGAGCUUUAAACCAACAGACGUGUUUUUCACCUGAUGACCCUGAAGGCAGCGUGACCUCGUCCCCAAGAUGCACACACGCACACACACACACACACACACACACGCACGCACACACUUUUUUAAAUGGAAUCAUAAACAGGCUGCUGCUGUCAGUCAGCAUGCUGCUCUCUGAUUGGCUGAUGUUGGAUUCCUGCUCUCUGAUUGGCUGAUGUUGGAUUCCUGCUCUCUGAUUGGCUGAUUUUGGAUUCCAGAUGUUUUAAUCUGAAUUUUUAACGAGCUGCUCGUCAGAUGAUGUCAUCGUAAACGAGCCAAUCGUCUGUUAACAAGUUUUUAUUCUGAUGAGCGGAGAGAGAGCAGCUCCUCCUCCUCCUCUUCAUCCUCUUCCUCCUCUCCCUCCUCCUCCUCUUCCUCUUCCUCCUAAUCUAACGGUUAGCGUAACAGAGACGACGGAGCAGUUUGGUACAAAUAAUAAAAACAGACUUUAGAUUUGAAUUGAUUUUUUGUCAAAGUGACAGAAAAACUUCGGCUGAUUAACUAAUAAAAUAAAGUCAGAUAUAAAAUGAUCAGAACAGAAUCUGUGAUAUUGAUCGUUCAGUUUAAUUUAAUAAGUUUACAAACAUUUCUGAGAACUGAUCAAACCGUUUGGACACUUUAACUGUCCUUUAAUUAACCUUAAAGGACACUAACCAGUGUUCCCAGUGUUCCCAGUCUGUUAAACCAGCAGUCAGGUGUCCAUAUGAACAGUGAAUAAAUUCCUUUUAAUAGUCAGUAUAAAAAGGAGGAAUGAUUAAAGUCGAUGUGAAGCUUCUUUUUUUCUUGUUUUUUAAUAAUUUGAACCGAACCGCAUCGUCUCUGUAACGUUUAAUAAAGUUUAAAAUUAUUGAAGCUACGAGGCGACGUAAAAGAUUUCAGCCAAUCACUGAACGGCAGGAAGACGCUAAACAUCACAGUUACCAUGGCAACAUGUUUUAUUACAUUUAAGCCGCAAACAAAAAGACGCGCCUGCCUCUGAUUGGCUGUUGGAAGGAGAUCUACGUCAGCCAAUCAGAAGCAGGGUAGGGCGGGUCUUUGUGUCCAAUGAGAGGAGAGACCAUGUGACCAGACUGCAGACAACAUGGCCGACAUCUUCACCUCUUCACCUCCACAGGUGACAGGAAGUGACAUCAACGUUGAAGCGGAAGUUGUGUUUUUUUUUUUCAACGUAAAAUAACCGACAGAUUUAACGUUAAAGAUUUUAUAAAGAUAUAAAACUGAGAUGUUUACAAUUGGAAGAUAUGAGUGUUUGAAAAGUUACUGUUUAAUGUUUUAAAUGUGACUUCCUGUCAGCUGUGGAGCUCACGAUGUCUGUACGAUGAGGUCACUUCCUGCGGUGAGGUCACUUCCUGCUCCGUCAGCAGCAGCUUGUACGUGUGAUAAUAAUUCAUGGUCAUUAUUCUGUAUGUUGUAAAGUGAUAGAGUCCAGACAGUUGUGGUGUCAGUGAAUAAACUGUACAUGAUCAUGA